GUUUCCUCCCCGCUCCACGCUGCAGGCUAAUCCGCUCACUCCCUUCGUGUUGGGUUACAGUGACAAGGGCCCUGUCUGAACCACGACUUUUAGAAAGAUAAUAUUACAGGCGCACAGCUGAUCCAUCUGAGACGGAGAAGGUUAAAGCGCUCUGAAUGCACAGCGCACCAUGCUGCAGGUAUUUUUAACCUUUGGCAGAAAGUCGGUCUUUUGUUUCUCCUUCAGCGCCAUGACGACCCC
rnacentral:lncRNA from 1 species